rnacentral:rRNA from 1 species
AUGAACGCUGGCGGCGUGCCUAAUACAUGCAAGUCGAGCGAACAGACGAGGAGCUUGCUCCUCUGACGUUAGCGGCGGACGGGUGAGUAACACGUGGAUAACCUACCUAUAAGACUGGGAUAACUUCGGGAAACCGGAGCUAAUACCGGAUAAUAUAUUGAACCGCAUGGUUCAAUAGUGAAAGACGGUUUUGCUGUCACUUAUAGAUGGAUCCGCGCCGCAUUAGCUAGUUGGUAAGGUAACGGCUUACCAAGGCAACGAUGCGUAGCCGACCUGAGAGGGUGAUCGGCCACACUGGAACUGAGACACGGUCCAGACUCCCACGGGAGGCAGCAGUAGGGAAUCUUCCGCAAUGGGCGAAAGCCUGACGGAGCAACGCCGCGUGAGUGAUGAAGGUCUUCGGAUCGUAAAACUCUGUUAUUAGGGAAGAACAAAUGUGUAAGUAACUAUGCACGUCUUGACGGUACCUAAUCAGAAAGCCACGGCUAACUACGUG